rnacentral:lncRNA from 1 species
CCACACACUCCGAGAGAGCCUGGGCAGACAGGCGAGAGAAAACAGAGGGGCCCCGAGCACAUACGUGUAACACACACACACUGAUGCGCCGGUUUCCACGGAGGGAAGGAAAUUCAGGGCACGGGAGCCAGAGCACGGCGAGUGUGCAAAACACAUCCACACCAAACGAGGAAGCCAUUUUUCUACUUUUAUUCCCACAAAUUAGCCCGGUUGUAGAGUUUGGCCGGAGGCUGUGCGCCUGAAACCAGCUUCUUCGGGCACUUUUGCCCGCAAUCGGCUCUUUGCAUCCUUGCGCUCCCAGGAGCCCGGCUGCGGGGCGCGGGCAGAGGGGUGGGCAGCCGCGGGUUGAGAGCCUCAAAAGGAAGGGAAGACUCUUCUUGUUAACCCCAGAGAACACAGCUGCUGGAAAAACCUGCUAAGCAAACCUUCGGUGAAACCACGGCUUUGCUGUCUGCUCUGAAUUCCUGGGAGUUUCGGGCUCUCCGGCAGAAUUUGCGAUUUGACUCGAAACGCAGCCCGGUGCCCUGUUCCCUUUGAUGCUUUAUCUCGCGAUUUCCACAGUGCUCAAGUGAAUUAGGAGCUAAAAGCCCAUUUUGAAAAAGUGAGGGGAGGCUAAAUUCAGCGAGAGAGUUGGGCAGAGCAGUAGCAGCCUCCUGCUGCUCAGGAUUGUGCCUGGGAACACAGCCCUCAGCCAGCAGAAGCAAAGCAGGGAGCUGCCGAGCCUUGCCCAUUGGCUGGAAACUGAAAGGUGUGCUGAGCAAAGCGGCCAGACACCCACAGAAGAAGGGGCGCUGACCCCCUGGUGCCUCUCCGUUUCAGACACGGAGGUGGCCAGAGACAGCAAGAAAAAGCGGCCGCCUAAAGAGCCUCGUGGUCAGGACACUCCUCGGAGCCGCAGGGCAAUCCAAAUUAAAUCCAGCAGAGCAGUGACUGGGAAAGAUCUUUUAUUGCUUGAAGCUGGCCCUGCUUCCCACCCAGCCAGGAUCAGAGGGAGAACAGGAAGGGGAGCUACUUGGAGUCGGUCCCCCUCGGGACACCAGGAAUGUGCAGCAAAGCCACCGUGCAAAGCUCCCCAUUUCAUCUCUGGGCACUGCUGA